rnacentral:rRNA from 1 species
AGCGAACGCUGGCGGCAGGCCUAACACAUGCAAGUCGAACGAACUCUUCGGAGUUAGUGGCGGACGGGUGAGUAACACGUGGGAACGUGCCUUUAGGUUCGGAAUAACUCAGGGAAACUUGUGCUAAUACCGAAUGUGCCCUUCGGGGGAAAGAUUUAUCGCCUUUAGAGCGGCCCGCGUCUGAUUAGCUGGUUGGUGAGGUAACGGCUCACCAAGGCGACGAUCAGUAGCUGGUCUGAGAGGAUGACCAGCCACACUGGGACUGAGACACGGCCCAGACUCCUACGGGAGGCAGCAGUGGGGAAUCUUGCGCAAUGGGCGAAAGCCUGACGCAGCCAUGCCGCGUGAAUGAUGAAGGUCUUAGGAUUGUAAAAUUCUUUCACCGGGGACGAUAAUGACGGUACCCGGAGAAGAAGCCCCGGCUAACUUCGUGCCAGCCGCCGCAGUAAUAC